UUGAUGCGCACGCGCCAUGCUCCUUCCCAGACGGACCAGAGAUCCGCACAGAGCACUCGUGGAAGGCAGCUCCCACCGCUCGGACGGAGGGAAAGGGUGGGACGGUUCCGGCUCGCACAGUGCGUUUUGGGGGGCUAGGGAGAGCCUUGGAGUCACCGCAACAAGGGAGGGGACUGACGAGGGGUAGAAGUUGUGGCCUCAGGAGCGGUAACGAGAUCGGAGAGAUGAAGUUGGUAUUAGGACCGGAGGACACGCUGAGCGUCCUGGUACUUACAUCGUCGCCACUCGCCGUCUGCCUUCACCAGCUGAUCUACUAGUCCCGGGUCCUUGAAGCGCUUCUCCUGAGUCUCUCGGAUGAGGGCCGGGUCCCCUCCUUUAUCUACCCGAAACAAAUCCAGAUCCAGAACCAUCUUUCCUUUUCUCCGGCCACACUAAGGGACGUGAGGAACGUACUACAGCAGCCACUGACCGCCGCACUGCGCCGGCGCGCUGACCCGCCCUAUCCGCGCAGGCGCGGCCGGAGGGCGCAGGCGCCCCCUCUGGGCCGGAAGGAACUGUGUCCGAAAACUGGGCCGCGGAUAGGAAGAUGAGGAGUCUGAAGCCUACAGGGGGAGUGUGGUGACUUUUCCAAGUUCACGAAGCCAGCACCAAAUGAGUUCCUAGACCAGAGAAUCUCCUAGUUACAGCCUCGUUGGCCUGCACUGGGGAGCUUCCUCAACCACGCAGUCCCACACCUCUUCUGUCUCGGUCUUAUUAAUCUGGGCAAGAGGGAAAUACUGCCUGAGAAACAGCUGGAAUCUUCUCAGCUCAUUGACUUGGCUAACAAGCAGAAGGCCUCCUUCAGCACAGAGAGAUCCAGGGACUCCUGCUUGCGACAAACUGGGCCCGGAGAAAUUUGGGGGAGAUGCUGAAAACACACCAAUUCCCAGGACCUUGCAUAUUGAGUCUAGCAAAUUGCAAGUUACAUGGUAGAAAGUACAUUCUGCACAAGGAUCUUUCUCUGCUUGUCAAAUAUUUGCUCAACCUGAUACCCUAGCUCCACGUUUCUCCAAAAAGGGUCCAGCUGUUUACACACUGACAACUGCUAAGGUAGUUUUAAGGAAUGAUUAACCCAAGGGCUGCAACUGGUCUCACUUCCCUAGCUCAGGAUUUCAUCAGAGUGUUUAAGGUGAGUACUAGUCAAGCUUGAAAGAUCUGCCUGGAUGGUCAGUUAGGGAGUGAAAAGUGAUCGCUGUAGCAUUGGUCCCAGGGCAAAACUAUUAAGAAGAUAAAGUUUAUCACGAGGGCUCCAGUUUCCCUGUCCGAGCUUCCCGCCACCUUCCAAGACCUUUUCCCCGACUCUAGGAGUACAACGUCUUCUCAUCCUGGUCCAUUUCAUCACAGGAGAACAUUUCCCCUGAAGGUUCAAGCAUCUAAUGAAUGCUUGGCCCAGGUCAGACCCCACUUCAGACUCUGGGCAAAUCCCUCGACCUCUCAGUGCUGCCCUUCAUUCAUUUAUACACAGGGAGAUCAUCCUACACUCCAGUGUGAAUGAUACACGAGAAGAUGUCUGGUAAAUUGCAAAGUACUAUCCUGGUGACGUGUCAUAGUACUAUGCUAAAAGUACUUUCAUAUUAACAGAAGACAGCUGGGAAAUGAACACAUUUGAUCCUUGAACCACAACACAGGUUUAAACUGGGCAGACUGGUUUUUUAUAUGUAAAUACAGUACAGUAUUGUAAAUGU